GGCUUCAUCAGGUAGCAGGGAGGAGAAUAUGUAAAUAAAAUUGAAAUAAAAGGUGCAAAAAGUAGUAAAAAUGUAUGUAUAUAUAUCUACAUGUACAGUAGGGUGUACUGUGCAAUUUACUUGCCUUGAAUGUAGUCCUGAUUGGAUGUGUGGAGCGAAAUGAUGACUGUCCCGGUGGUCUCCUCAAGCUGUGAGGAGAGCUAACUCUCCGGUGUGUGCGCGUGUGGGAAUGUGGCUUAGGUUAUUUCGAUUGGUCUGUACUGUUACUAGGUAGGAUAGCCGCUAACAGGUUGAGGUGUGGAGGAAUCAGAUAAAGGUGAGAGUGGAAUAGGGAUGCAGUAAAGUGGAUGGGCAGUUAGAGUGGAGGUCAAGCACAUCUAAUAACAAUACAAUGGAGACCCAAUGUGAUAAAUGUUCAACCUUGUAGUGACACAAGCUUUUCAAAUGUUAUUUGGUAUGAAUGAGGAGUGGAGUGUGACAAAACAGGGGACACAAUACAUUGUAAGGGACAGACAGGGUUAACAACAUGAGGUCAGGUACAGAUACAUGUACACACACACAUACACAUACACAGAGGGGUUGGAACUGGGGUUGCAGUUCGGGUUAGGGGCCAGGGCUAAGGUCAGAGACAGUGUUAGGAAUGGUAGGGGUUAGAAUGGUUAAGGUUAGGGUUGGAGUGGUUUAAGGAUAAGGUUGAGGUCCAAAUAGGAAUGAUCAGGGUUAGGUUUAGGGUAGGAUGGUUAAGGUGAGGGUUAAGGUUUGGGUUGGGGUUAGAAUAGUUAGUUAGGGUUAGAGUGGUUAAGGUUAGGGUUAAGGACAAAGCAAGGGUGAUUAAGGUUAAGUUUAGAGUAAGAAUGGUUGCGGUUAGGGUUAGGAUGUUUAACUUUAGGUAACCUACAUUAUAAGAAACAGACAAGGUUAACAACAUAAGGUCAGACACAGAUACCUAUACUAAUACAUACACUCACAGGGGGGUUGGGGCUAGGAUUGCAGUUAAGGUGGGGGGCUAGGGUUAAGGUCAGGAUUAGUGUUAGUGUUAGGAAUGGUAAGGGUAAGAAUGGUUAAGGCCAGGGUUAGGUUUAGGGUAGGAAUGUUUCAGAUAAGGGUUGGAAUGGUUCCGGUUAGGUUACGGGUUAGGUGAGGGGGUUGGGUAGGUCUUGUGGGGUCCAAUUUAAAACGGAUG
ensembl:lncRNA